rnacentral:rRNA from 2 species
CCUACGGGGGGCUGCAGUGGGGAAUCUUGGACAAUGGGCGCAAGCCUGAUCCAGCCAUGCCGCGUGAGUGAAGAAGGUCUUCGGAUUGUAAAGCUCUUUUACCAGGGACGAUAAUGACGGUACCUGGAGAAUAAGCCCCGGCAAACUUCGUGCCAGCAGCCGCGGUAAUACGAAGGGGGCUAGCGUUGUUCGGAAUUACUGGGCGUAAAGCGCACGUAGGCGGGCUAUUAAGUCAGGGGUGAAAUCCCGGAGCUCAACUCCGGAACUGCCUUUGAUACUGGUAGUCUAGAGAUCGGAAGAGGUUAGUGGAAUUCCCAGUGUAGAGGUGAAAUUCGUAGAUAUUGGGAAGAACACCAGUGGCGAAGGCGGCUAACUGGUCCGAUACUGACGCUGAGGUGCGAAAGCGUGGGGAGCAAACAGGAUUAGAUACCCCAGUAGUC